rnacentral:rRNA from 1 species
CCUACGGGGGACAGCAGUAGGGAAUAUUGCUCAAUGGGGGAAACCCUGAAGCAGCAACGCCGCGUGGAGGAUGAAGGUUUUCGGAUUGUAAACUCCUUUUGUUAGAGAAGAUAAUGACGGUAUCUAACGAAUAAGCACCGGCUAAAUCCGUGCCAGCAGCCGCGGUAAUACGGAGGGUGCAAGCGUUACUCGGAAUCACUGGGCGUAAAGAGCGCGUAGGCGGAAUAGCAAGUCAGAUGUGAAAUCCUAUGGCUUAACCAUAGAACUGCAUUUGAAACUGUUAUUCUAGAGUAUGGGAGAGGUAGGUGGAAUGCUUGGUGUAGGGGUAAAAUGCGUAGAGAUCAAGAGGAAUACUCAUUGCGAAGGCGACCUGCUAGAACAUAACUGACGCUGAUGCGCGAAAGCGUGGGGAGCAAACAGGAUUAGAUACCCUUGUAGUC